GUGAAAGACAAGCUUUUGAAGCGCUGUCCUUAAGAGGUUAAGGAUUCAAGCUAACUAUUCCUUUCCUCAAACCAUAUCUACACCUGCUGUUGCUACUGGAGGUAAUUAUACUCUAAUCUUUGUGAAACUUCCAGGAUAAAAGGGAUAAAGCUGCAAGAUCUCUGACAUUUAUCUCCUGCCACCUUGAUGUUGCGUUUGAAAAAAAAAUAAUUAUUUUCAUCUAUGGCCCUAUGUCCAGAGCUGGAUUAACAUAGGGGCUGAUGGAGCUGCAGCUCCAGGCCCAG